GGACCCGCACAAGCGGUGGAGCAUGUGGUUUAAUUCGAUGCAACGCGAAAAACCUUACCUACACUUGACAUACUUCGAAUUUUCUAGAGAUAGAUUAGUGCCUUCGGGAGCGAAGAUACAGGUGCUGCAUGGCUGUCGUCAGCUCGUGUCGUGAGAUGUUGGGUUAAGUCCUAUAACGAGCGCAACCCUUACCCUUAUUUGCCAGCGGUUAGGCCGGGAACUAUAAGGGAACUGCCGGUAAUAAGCCGGAGGAAGGUGGGGACGACGUCAAGUCAUCAUGGCCCUUACGUGUAGGGCUACACACGUGCUACAAUGGGAGAUACAGACGGUUGCUAAAGCGCGAGCUGGAGCC
rnacentral:rRNA from 1 species